rnacentral:rRNA from 1 species
CAGUCGCCACGGUAAUACAGAGGGUGCAAGCGUUAAUCGGAAUUACUGGGCGUAAAGCGCGCGUAGGUGGUUUGUUAAGUUGGAUGUGAAAGCCCCGGGCUCAACCUGGGAACUGCAUCCAAAACUGGCAAGCUAGAGUACGGUAGAGGGUGGUGGAAUUUCCUGUGUAGCGGUGAAAUGCGUAGAUAUAGGAAGGAACACCAGUGGCGAAGGCGACCACCUGGACUGAUACUGACACUGAGGUGCGAAAGCGUGGGGAGCAAACAGGAUUAGAGACCCGCGUAGUCCCUGUCUCUUAUAC